AAGAGGUUCAAAUGAGGAGGAGGAACAUUACAGGCCCAGCUAAUGAAAGAGGGACUGAACCGCAGAAUUCCUUUAUAACAACAGGAGGGAAACCAGAGAGCAUCUAUAAUCAUAUCUGAUGAAGGUGAAUGUCCUCUGUCUUCAUUUUGAGGCUGCUCCAGUCCCUCUCUGAUGGGAAUGAAGUUCUAAUAAGGAAUUGAUUUUUUUAGGGAGAAGAAACGCCGUAAAGAGGAUGACCUUCUGACCCCAUUGCUCAUAGAAGGUGUGGCAGCUGAUAGUCCUCAUCCUCGAGAAUCGAUGUGGCCGGCCUCAUAACCACCCUUGGCCGAUUUCAGGGGCCCUUAAUGUGUCAUCAAUGUGUCAUCGAGCAUACGUCUUAGCCAGAGGCGACAGGACCUCCCCCCCCCCGUCGGAUGAGAGGGCGGAGAGUGGCAUUUCCCCCAAUUCUGUGAAAUGGUGCAGAAAACAGGAGAAAGAGGG